rnacentral:rRNA from 1 species
UACGUGGGGGGCAAGCGUUGUUCGGAAUUACUGGGCGUAAAGGGCGCGUAGGCGGCCUUCUAAGUCGGACGUGAAAUCCCUCGGCUUAACCGAGGAACUGCGUCCGAUACUGAAAGGCUUGAAUCCGGGAGAGGGAUGUGGAAUUCCAGGUGUAGCGGUGAAAUGCGUAGAUAUCUGGAGGAACACCGGUGGCGAAGGCGGCAUCCUGGACCGGCAUUGACGCUGAGGCGCGAAAGCUAGGGGAGCAAACGGG